UGAUUGCUCUUGCUUUUGGUGUCAGC
rnacentral:piRNA from 1 species